AACGAACGCUGGCGGCAUGCCUAACACAUGCAAGUCGAACGAGACCUUCGGGUCUAGUGGCGCACGGGUGCGUAACGCGUGGGAACCUGCCCUUAGGUUCGGAAUAACUCCCCGAAAGGGGUGCUAAUACCGGAUAAUGUCUUCGGACCAAAGAUUUAUCGCCUUUGGAUGGGCCCGCGUUGGAUUAGCUAGUUGGUAGGGUAAAAGCCUACCAAGGCGACGAUCCAUAGCUGGUCUGAGAGGAUGAUCAGCCACACUGGGACUGAGACACGGCCCAGACUCCUACGGGAGGCAGCAGUGGGGAAUAUUGGACACUGGGCGAAAGCCUGAUCCAGCACUGCCGCGUGAGUGAUGAAGGCCUUAGGGUUGUAAAGCUCUUUUACCCGGGAUGAUAAUGACAGUACCGGGAGAAUAAGCUCCGGCUACCUCCGU
rnacentral:rRNA from 1 species